rnacentral:lncRNA from 1 species
GGUGCCAGGCUUCGUCCCCGACUCCGGCUGCAGACAGACCUCGUCCGGACUCCUACGGGAGCCGGACUCCACCCACAACUCCGACCGCAAGCAGACUCCUCCCGAACUCCUACGGGAGUCGGGCUCCGUCACCUACUUCAACUGCUGGUAAGCUUCGUCCGAACUCCUACGGGAGCCGGACUUCACCCUUGACAUUAAUUACAGG